rnacentral:ncRNA from 1 species
GUGAAGUGACAUGAGAGGUGUAGCAUAAGUGGGAGGCCCACGGCGCCCAUUUCCUGAGUCUCGGCCAGGGGUGUGGAUUGGGCAUACGGGCCUUUCGGGCCGCAGGUGAAAUACCACUACUCUGAUCGUUUUUUUCACUGACCCAGUGAGGCGGGGGGUGGUGGGGUGGUGGGGGGAAGUCCCCCAGAUGGCCUGGCCCUAGCUGGG